AUCUUCCGAUCUUUAUCGAGGUUCCACUGUAUUUCUAUUAAAAAGAUUUGUUUGCAUUUCCACGAACUGCCCUUUUGCAUUUCCAGAAAUCAAACUUAGAAACCUGUUUUAUCAGUUUUAGGCUAAAUAAAGCAGAGUACUGCUACAACUACUAUUCACUGUGUUACAACAGUUCGUAAAUGUUCAUCAAGGCGAAUUAAUUUUUGAAGAUGCAGUGACGAAAAAAUGCUGCUAAAAGCCGUGAGUCUGAUGAAUACCAGCGACGGUUCACUACAACAGUUUUUUCAGAAAAAUAUAAUAAAUCUAAUUUAAAUUGAUAGAUGCAGAUGACGCUCCUGAAACCUCCGAACAGUCGACCGAUAGAAGUUAUGACAAGCCACCAAUACCCGGCAAAAACUUGCAAUCAACCGAAGGAAGUAAUAAGUCACCUGAUAACAACUUACGGUCAACUGAAAGAAGCCGCGAUAAAUCGCCAACCUCGGGGAAGGACUCACAAUUCCAAUAGGUGACGCCGAGAAAAAUGGACUACAAACACAGUCCGAGCUCAGUUGCAGAAAGCGGGUCUAUACAAUUGUACAUCGCAGUCGGGUCAGGUAGUGGCAGACUACAAACGGUACCUGCAUCAAAGUUGUGGUCAUCGUCUGAACCUCAAAACCCAGCAGCUGUUUAACUGCUUCAUUUCCUCGGUGGAAACGUCGAAGUUCUAAAUUAUCAGCAUAUUUUUCAGGAACAAAAUCUGGUUGCCAGACUGUGUGUAUGGAUAUAGGGAUUUGUAGAGUUCCUUUAUGGAAGACAGAUCAUAUAUGAAGGACUCUACAAAUUUCUAAAACAAUUCAUAUCUGCAUAUAUGAAGCGCGUAUCCAUCACGAAACGGGAUAUUAACGUUUCAAAGAGACGGAAAUAUUUGGACCUAUCGCUAGAGAAACCAUCCGGCACUUUCUCCUGGAUGGAGAAAAUUCAACCCCUUAUUUUGGUCUCCGCGAUGGACUAGUCUGAGUAAGACUCGAAUACGGAGAAAUGCUUUGUUGCCCUAUAUUAUCGGGAUAAUACUUCGUUUCGGCCAUUAUCAGGUCGCAUCGAACUUCACAGUCUCGGAGUACCUUGCAGGUCAGAAUUCUGAGAUUUUUUACGUCAGUGACGUGAAAUCCCAGGAGACCGGAUCUGCAACCUUCGAGAUGAGAUCCGAGGAGGAACGCCGAAUCGUGAAGUAUUACCAUGAUAAUGUCAGAGUGACAAAGACGCAUUCCGAAGCAUUUCUCCUUAGUUCGAGUGGAACUCCGAUACAAUAUAUCAACCGGACACUCGAAAAAAUCAUCAUUCCCCAUAUGCCUGUAAACUCCACCACGUACAGACAUAUAGUUGCAACUAAAAUUCAGGGGGAAGUGGCAGAUCCCGAGAAAAGGAAGCGUCUUCACCAGGAAAUAAAUCAAACUGAAACUUAUAUUGGCAAUUGAGAACUGUUUCACCUGUUGGUUUAAAUUUGAAAUUUCCAUGAGACAAG
rnacentral:lncRNA from 1 species